AUUGAACGCUGGCGGCAUGCUUUACACAUGCAAGUCGAACGGUAACAGGCCGCAAGGUGCUGACGAGUGGCGAACGGGUGAGUAAUGCAUCGGAACGUGCCCAGUCGUGGGGGAUAACGCAGCGAAAGCUGCGCUAAUACCGCAUACGAUCUCUGGAUGAAAGCGGGGGACCGAAAGGCCUCGCGCGAUUGGAGCGUCCGAUGUCAGAGUAGGUAGUUGGUGGGGUGAAGGCCCACCAAGCCAACGAUCUGUAGCUGGUCUGAGAGGACGACCAGCCACACUGGGACUGAGACACGGCCCAGACUCCUACGGGAGGCAGCAGUGGGGAAUUUUGGGCAAUGGGCGCAAGCCUGAUCCAGCAAUGCCGCGUGCAGGAAGAAGGCCUUCGGGUUGUAAACUGCUUUUGUACGGAACGAAACGGUCCGGGUUAAUACCCUGGGCUAAUGACGGUACCGUAAGAAUAAGCACCGGCUAACUACGUGCCAGCAGCCGCCGUAACAC
rnacentral:rRNA from 1 species